CGCACAUUGCGCCCGCCAGUAUUCUGACGGGCAUGCCUGUUCGAGCGUCAUUUCAAACCUCAAGCCCUCUUGUGUGCUUGGUGCUGGGGCUCUUCUAUAGUGAUUUCUGUCAUUAUAGGCCCUAAAAACCGACGGCGGACCCGCGAGGUCUCUGAGCGUAGUAAAACACUUCUCGCUUGUGAGAUCUUCCGGGCUACUAUCCAGCCUUCAUAUCACUAUUAUACCUAAGUUUGACCUCGGAUCAGGUAGGAAUACCCGCUGAACUUAA
rnacentral:misc_RNA from 1 species